rnacentral:lncRNA from 1 species
UAGUUAUUUGCUUUUUGCCUAAAAGUGAUUAUUCCUUUGUGAAGAACAAGGUCAUUUGAUCACCUUAUUUUAGGGUAGAUGCUGAUUCAACGGAAAGAAAGGCCUUCUCUGGGCAUGAGCACUACCUGUAAGAUAAAGAAAUCAGCCAGCCCCAGAGACAGUCUAUAAGAGGAAAGAGAAAGGAUGAACAAAGGAAGAAAACUGGAGAAUCAGAGUGAGGAUGCUGUCAUUGUCAUUACACCUAAAGAACAGUUGGUCAAUAACAAAAAUAUAUAAUUGAAUUGUCACUAAGAAAUUUUUAAAAAUAUCUCCACACUUUCAAAAAAUAUAUGAGA